rnacentral:rRNA from 1 species
GACGUAGGGCGCGAGGCGUUGUCCGGAUUUAUUGGGCGUAAAAGAGCUCGUAGGCGGGCUCGUUGCGUUCGGCUGUGAAAACCCGCAGGCUCAACUGUGGGCUUGCAGCUGAAUACGGGCGGGCUUGGAUUCGGUAGGGGAGACUGGAAUUCCUGGUGUAGCGGUGAAAUGCGCAGAUUAUCAGGAGGAACACCGGUGGCGAAGGCGGGUCUCUGGGCCGAUAUCGACGCUGGAGGAAGCGAAAGGCGUGGGGGAGCGAACAGG